CUUUUCAACUAUUUCUAGAUGAAAUAGAUAAGUAUGUCUCUGUAAAUGGGUCUUUUGAGAGAGAUGACACACAGAUAUAAUGAUAUAUAGAUAUCUCAGACAUUUGGUAUAGGGUGAUCAAUCAUGCCACAGCAAGAAACAAAGAGCCAGACUAAGCAUUAAUGCAACCUUGUUUAUUUUUGUUAAUAUACACUUAUAUAAUCAUACAAAUAGUCAUACGAAAAACAAAAUUUACCAAGAAAUAAAAAAUAGAAUGUUCAGAACUAGGAAGCAAUUCAAAAAAGGUCUCUUGAUCACAAAUCUGAGAUUAAAAAGGAAAAAAGGUGCACUCUUAGGUUCUUCAGGCAUUCUUUAAGGGAUCUUAGACUCCUAAAAGGGUGUAAAGGGUUCCCUCAGAGGGACAUACUAUAAGGGUUCCCUCAGAGGGACAUCUAUGCCAGUGUAGUCACUUUAAGCAAAAAAAGAAUGAAGAAAUUAUUGCAGACCCAGAGACAAAUAAACACUGAUCCAUAAAAGCAAUAAACAGAGAGGGGAGGGAUAAGCAGUCCAAACAGCAAAACUGUCAUAACAUUGUAUGUUGCAAUAAAGUGUGUUUUGGAUUUGUAAAAAACAUAGGUAGUUGAAGGAAGGCUCCGGACACACACAAGCUCACAUGCACGCACACACACACACACACACACACACACACACACACACACACACACACACACACACACACACACACACACACACACACACACACACACACUCUCUCUCACUCUCUCUCUCUCUCUCUCUCUCUCUCUCUCUCUCUCUCUCUCUCUCUCUCACCCCAAAAGGGAAAAUUAUAGUACAUAAAUGUAUGAACAGAAAUGUAGAGAAUUACAUGUACUGGUUAUUUACAUACGCAUUUAUAAAACUGUACUACUUCAUCCAAUAGUUUAAAGGGAAAAGUUUAGCUUAAAUCACUGAACCAUGGCAAACUAUUUAAAAGCAAGACAAGAAAUAACAAUAAAACAAACUUGAAGAUAACAAAUAAGGUGUAUUUUUGGAUGAAAAAGCCCAAAAUGUCAGACAGCCUACAGACUGUUGUCGCCAUGCAUUAAAACAGCCAACACCAGUCUGAUAAGCUAUCUGACACACUGGGAGAGAUGGAUGGAAAUGCCUGAUCCACACAUGAAGAAUAAAAUGGAAAGGAAAGAAAAGAACACUUACCAUAGACAAAGAGGAAUGGUAGGAGGUGGUUGUUGGAGGCCAUAUUCUGUUAUUUUGUAACCAAAUAUGUCCUGUUAUAGCGGUUCAAAAUGUGCUUCCCAUUCACUGACGAGCAUGUCCGCUAGCUGAACAUGCUUAGCCUCUUGCUUGUAUCCCCCUUUCUCUCUCUUCUUCAUAUCCUUCCUGCCAGCAGUACAGUGCAUUGAGUUCAGCCCAGGGUUCAGCUAAGGUAACAGCAAAGAAACCCCACACUGUUCCAUUUUUUUUUAUAUGCCUGAAGCUUCCAGGCUAGCAUACCAGGGCAGUGUUACAAAAAAGCACAGAUGAGGGAGAAAACAUUUCACAAGCAGUUCUAAAAAAAAAUUACAAAAUGAAAAAAGAGGCAAAGAAGCUUUUGUAUAAUCAAGGAACAAAAAAUAAAUUACAUCAUAUUGCAUUAAUUAAUAUUGGGUCUUGGCACCCAUUAUACCUUAUUAUGAGUGCCAAGACCAGGCAUAAAAGAACACAAAAAUCUUUAACAUUGUUUAGAAACUUCUGAAUGAAUUGCAUUACCUAAAGAAAAACAUAAAAAAAGUAGUCACAAUAUCAGACAUAUUAUUAGCCAGUCUCAUUAACAUAAGCAGUGAGAGCCCAUCAAUAAUCAGUAUUCUGCUUCCAAUAUAAGCACGGUUCUGAUCAGGGAGUAUUUUAGAGAAGAUCUCUAUAAGAUAUACAACAUACACCUAAAUUUGAAACCCUCAAUAUCACAAAACAGUAGUCACAAUGUCAGACAUACUAUCAGCCAGUCUCAUUAAUAUAAACAGUGACAGCCCAACAACAGUCAGUAUUCUGCUGUCAAUAUAAGCACAGUUGUGAUCUCAGUCAGAUAAAACAUACACAAAAAGGUGAACUGCUCAAGAAUAGUGAACCUCCAUCCACUCAUCCACAAUCUCUGAAAAAUUCAUGUUCAUAUGAUUGCACAUAUUACCAGGAUUGUGAAGCCCUGGUCUGACUAACAAGUUGUUUCUCAGUCUAUGGAAAUUAAACAGUAACUACUGGAAACUACAGUAUGAUUCACUGAUAUUUAUUACAGUUUCAGUGUUUAGCACCAACACUAUUUCAUAACCCAAAUGUAAAUGAUGACUUAUUUAUUGAGAUAUAUGUAUGAUUUAUUGAGAAUAAAAUAUAUCUAGAUGUCAUAAUCUGAAGGCCUCAAUGGUCAAUAAGUUCCUGCACUUUUAAAUAAAGCUGUUCUGCCAAAACACAAUGCUGCAACCUUACAUCUCUCCAGCCCCAUUUACUAUAUUAAACUCUGUAAGAAGCCAAU
ensembl:lncRNA